UACAGAGGGUGCGAGCGUUAAUCGGAAUUACUGGGCGUAAAGCGCACGUAGGCGGCGACGUAAGUCGGGUGUGAAAGCCCCUGGCUCAACCUUGGAAUUGCAUUCGAGACUGCAUUGCUGGAGUACGGAAGAGGAUGGCGGAAUUCCAGGUGUAGCGGUGAAAUGCGUAGAUAUCGGGAGGAACACCAGUGGCGAAGGCGGCCGUCUGGUCCAGUACUGACACUCAAGUGCGAAAGCGUGGGGAGCAAACAGG
rnacentral:rRNA from 1 species